GCACUUUCUACAGCAGCACAUAUACUAAAAUUGGAAUGAUAACAAAGAUUAGUAUAGCUCCUGCACAAGGAUGACACAAAAAUUCAUGAAGUAGCAUCCCAAAUU